CCCCCUCCCUCGCUCUGGCGAGGGAAGAGCGGGCGCCGCCCGCGAUACGUGGAGGAACCCGCUCGGCUGGCGCAACAGGAGGCCCGCGAGGGGGGACCGUGGGGAGGGGGGAGCGCACGGGACGCCCGGCCGCGUCACGUGACGCCACUGCCAACAGGUCGCCCGAGGCAGGGCCCGCGUAUCAUAAGGGGCGGGGGAGGGGCGGUCGCUACAGUUCGCCACCCGUUCGCCCCGCGGUCACGGUGUCCUCGUGCCUGAGGUGGACGUCGUCGGCUUGACAAAGAGCUGAAUAAAGACUUCAAAGAAUCAAGAGGAAGUUGAAAAUACAACAGGGAAUAGACCUGGGUUCACAAAUGAGAGCCUAGAAAUGCUGCCUCGGAGCCUGUGUGACCAGGAGCACCUACACUGGAUUGCAUUUGCUUACAUAAUGACUGAACUUUGGUGCUUCUUGCAGAUUAGCUGUUCUGGUAAUACACUUCUCUGCUCUUGUUUUACUAACAAAGAAGUUGACAUUUAGACCUGAUACAUAGCUUAGUGUUAGAGAGUUUGUCCUACAUGAGCAAGGCUUUGGGUUCCCCCUAUCCGGCACUAGGAGGUAGAAAACUAUUCUCCAUGCACUCACCCCUUUAAUAUGUAUAUAGCUUUACCCAGUAAUGAAACUUUUUUCUUUUUGAGACAAUAUCUCCCUGUAGCCCCAGCUGGUCUGAAACUCGCUAUGUAGAUCAGGCUGGCCUCAGUCUCACAGAGAUCUACCUGCCUCUGCUUCCCGAGUUCUGGGGUCAAAGAUAUGCACUGCCUUAAUAAAGCUUUCUUCUAAGACUGGA